UACGGAGGAUGCGAGCGUUAUUCGGAUUUAUUGGGUUUAAAGGGUGCGUAGGCGGGCUUUUAAGUCAGCGGUAAAAAUUCGGGGCUCAACCCCGUCCGGCCGUUGAAACUGGGGGUCUUGAGUGGGCGAGAAGAAGGCGGAAUGCGUGGUGUAGCGGUGAAAUGCAUAGAUAUCACGCAGAACCCCGAUUGCGAAGGCAGCCUUCCGGCGCCCUACUGACGCUGAGGCACGAAAGUGCGGGGAUCGAACAGG
rnacentral:rRNA from 1 species